AUUCAGGCUGUAACACAACAUAAUGUGUGAUAAGUCAAGGGGUUUGAGUACUUUAUGAAAAUACCCUCAAAUUAAGGGGAAAUUCUGUACUGUCGCCUUAUAUAAAACAUUCUAUCUUAAAUCUAAAAUACUGGAGUAUAGAGCCAUACAUAUUUUUUGGGCUUCACUGUCCAAAUGCAUAUGGAGGGGAGUGUAUGACCGAUAAAUGAUUCUGAUUGUUCAGAUACCCUUACCCCUGCAACAUUAGCUCACACUUGCUGUAUGAGACUGUUGUUUAGGUUUCUGCUCUCUGUGGUUUUGCUGUGCACAAGCUCCACAUUUACGUCUCUAUUCAAACAAUCCUCUGACUCAGUCACACACCUUACUGUGAAGUCAGACUAACAGUAUGUAGCUGACUGACAAAUGGCAUUGUUCAUCCCUGAUAUGGCUGGUCAUCUGUUCUUGGUCAUCCUCCUUUUUGGUGAGUUAUUUCUACAUUUCUACAGUUUCAUCAUCUGUUUGUGCUACAGGAUAUUCCUCUUCUUCUCUCCCCUCUUUUUGUCUUUUAAUUGAGGAACUCUUGAUAUUUCUGAAUCUCAUGGCUAUGAUGAGUGUCUUGUAUCUUAUUCCAUUAAUCAUCUUAUUUAUUUCUCUCUAUCAUUAUUUUACAAUUUGUUCAGAUAAGAAUGACCACUGCUUGAUCCCCAUUAAUGCAUUACAGUAGAUUACGCUACUUUACCAACUUGUGUGAAGUGUUCAGGUGUCUCCUGUUAAAACAUACUUUUUGAAUGGCAGAUGAUGAUAAUCUAUUUUAUCAUUUCUAGAUACGUUCCAAUCCAUCAAAGCCCAAGGUAAACUGCAGAAACCAGACAUUAGUGUCAAUGACGAAUCAUCUCAUGACAUCACUAUUGCCUGUGUACUUCCUGAGUCUGUCAGUGAUGGUCAUAGUUGUAACCUGUACACUGGAGACAAGCCAGAGUGAGCUCAGGACCAAACUCUCUCUCACCACGCAGUGAUCGAUACAGUUUUGCAGUUUCGACUGUUACUUCUACUUCGACCCGAGACACCACGGUGACACCAACUACCAGUUUGACCUCUCCUUUGACCCCCAGCACGGCAGUGAAUCCUACAUCAGGUGUAUUGGUCAUCUUUCUCUAGUUAGCAGAUAGGACCUAAACAAAUAGACUAGCUUUAUUGAACCUAGGUUUUUAUGCACAAAUUUCCCCUGAUUAAAAAAACAUUGAUAUUUCACUAAUUAAAUCAACCCAUUUAGAUACCUUUAUUAUUGUAUAAUCAGAUCCAAUGACUUUGCUUUGCACCGGGUUUGACUUCUAGUUCUACUUUGACAACUGACACCCCUAAGAGUCCACAUGAUUUUAGUUUAGUAGCGUAAUAAGUUGUGUUGUGUGUUAACUGUUAUUAAACAGUCUCUCUCUCUUGCAUGUGCCCAGGAGGUCAAAGCUCCACAGAAAGCGUUCUGGGAGGUCAAAGCUCCACAGACAGCAUUGUGAAUUCAAACAGUCAAAAAAUAGUUUGGGAACAUCUCAUGCUCUGUUAGGCUGGAUGUGGAGCGUCGCUGCACAGCUAUUAUCAGAUCUCUCCAGAGAUGUUUGAUCGGGUUCAAGUCCGGGUUCUGGCUGGGCCGCUCAAGGACAUUCAGAGACUUGUCCCAAAGCCACUCCUGCCCUGUCUUGGCUGUGUGCUUAAGGUCCUUAUCCUAGUGGAAGGUAAACCAUCGCCCCAGUCUGAGGUCCUGAGUACUCUGGAGGAGGUUUUCGCCAAUAAUCUCUCUGUACUUUGCUCUGUUCAUCUUUCCCUCGAUCCUGACUAGUGUCCCAGUCCCUGUUGCUGAAAAACAUCCCCACGGCAUGAUGUUGCCACCACCAUGCUUCACCAUAGGUAUUGUGCAAGGUCUCCUCCAGACGUGAUUCUUGGCAUUCAUGCCAAAGACUUCAAUCUUGGGUUCAUCAGACCAGAGAGUCUUGUUUCUCGUGGUCUGAGAGUCCUUUAGGUGCUGUC